AACGAACGCUGGCGGCAGGCUUAACACAUGCAAGUCGAGCGAGGACUUCGGUCCUAGCGGCGGACGGGUUAGUAACGCGUGGGAACGUGCCCCUUUCUUCGGAAUAGCCUCGGGAAACUGGGAGUAAUGCCGGAUACGCCGGAUCAUCGCGAGAUGGUUCGGGAAAGAUUUAUCGGAGAGGGAUCGGCCCGCGUUGGAUUAGGUAGUUGGUGGGGUAAUGGCCUACCAAGCCGACGAUCCAUAGCUGGUUUGAGAGGAUGAUCAGCAACACUGGGACUGAGACACGGCCCAGACUCCUACGGGAGGCUG
rnacentral:rRNA from 1 species